rnacentral:lncRNA from 1 species
GAACUAAUCCUCACGCUCUGUAUUCCAGCAGGCUAGCUCCAGCUGCACGCAUGACCCCGCCUCCCAUCCUCUUAAUCUCUUUGUCUCACUUUAUUCACAGCAACACACCUUGUGAAGACGAGCAGCCAAGGAUCAGAGCAGCACUUCACAGACCCUCCUCCUCCUCCUCUUCCUCCUCUUCCUCCUCAUUCUUGUUCUCGCACCAGUACUUGGUGUCAGAUGGAGCAGAUAACUUAGUCAUUGGUGUGUUUGUGGAUGGGUCUUCAGCGGUACCAAACCGUGGCAAGCAUCGUCCGUCUGGCUCCCCUCGCCGACGCUUGCGAUUUGUAGAAGUCACACAGUACACUGAUUGCCAAUAAUGAUGAGCUGGCGAAGAGAGGCAGAGGGAGAGAUGAGUUUGAUUGCCUUCUGGUCAUUCCGGGGAAGUGGAGGAGCAGAAAAAAGCAGGAAGGUAAAGAGUAAGAAAGAGGAGGAAAGCAGUGUCCCAGUGCUCUUCAUCGUCAUUACAACCACCAUCAUCAUCAAAAAGGUCUUGCCCUUUGAAAGAGUGAGUGUGCGAAAGAGAUCUGAUAAGCACGAGCUUUAGGGUUUGUGGCGCUGGAGUCCUUUUGGUGUCAAACCCACUGGAGAGUCCGUCUGGCUUCGACUGUUUCUUUAAUGGCGACGACAGUCUUGAGCACACAGCCAAC